GCAGCAUGUCCAGAAACAUGAAUCCACACAAGGCAAGAUGUUGGCAUAGCUGAGUGUAAUUCGCCAUCAGCUGUGCUGCGGAUUGCCACCUAUGGGUUCGUUACUUCUUCUAACUGGGCA
rnacentral:precursor_RNA from 9 species